ACCAGGAACCCCCAUAUAGCUACGGAUAUCUUGCAACGAAAUAAUCAUGCGUAGCCAGGUUCCCACUGCCCGUACGUGUGAGGAGGGAGAGAUGCCGUAACUUCCUUCCAUCUUCUCCUUUUUUUUUUGAGGGAUUGGCUCCAUCUUAUCUGCCUAAUAAUUAAUGCCUAAUACCGCACGACCCCGCCCCCCGAACACAUCCAUUAGAUCGUGCGAGACUAUCCCAGAUUCAUCCAGUUGCCCCCGUCCUCCGCACUCGAACCAAUUCCAGAAGGCGCUCCUGGAUCGCGAUUCUUGGACCUUGCAUCAGUUCAAGAACGGCGCUUGUGGAUCACGAGUUCACGACCCUCUGAUCUCGCACCAGUUCAAGAACUGCUCUCCUGGAUCGCGAUGUUGAGGUGUUCCGUCACUACAACACCAAGCAGGAUACCACGGCUGAACUUUUCUGCAUCACCGGCCAGGGAUGGAUGCCACUAUACUGGUCGGAUGCCAUGGAUCCAAUCAACUGCAUCAGGUGGCAGCCCCCUUUUUCCCAAUAUUAAACUACAUGACGUAUCUCCUUGAUUUUUACCACACUAUUCACACUUCAGGGCUCCUGCCAUGUUGUGCUGAAUAUGUUCGAAGUUCCACCUUUCUAGAUUAACUAUUUUGUUGAUUGACAGAUAUUUCAGUCCAAUUCUUUUCAAGAACUCCAUAAAUAUUAGUAGUACCACUUAGGUUACGUAUUGGCUACUGGUCCUCUAAUUUAGUUCUCUUUAGUGCAAAUUUAUUAUGCAGACCUGGAUGAUUUUGUUGAUGUGAAUGCUAUGCGAGGUCAUAGCCUGAGUGAUCGUGCAGCAAAAACUUUCCUGGUCCAGGACACAAUGAGUUUCUUUGUUCAUGUCGACGAGAUGUGAAUCUUCAUUGUUACAAUUGUGGGAAAUAGAAAACUACUCCCUCCAUUCCAAAUUGACUCCCAAAGUAAUCAGAGUCUGUGUUAGAGCAUGAUUUGUGUAGAGUGUAGACUUGAGGCCAUUUCUAGAACCAAAAGGAUGCACGAUGCAUCGUAAGACAUAAUGCUUCUCUAAGUGAGUCCAGAAGGCUGGAAAGCUAAAAUUGAUCAGAAGAAGAUCUCAGAUACAAGUCUUGGCUACUUGCGUUAUCUUCAACAUAGAUCCACAGAGAAGUGAAGCAUCAACUUGGGUUCUUGGAUAAAAAAGCGAAACAUCAACUUGGGUACUUGAGAUAAUGGGACUAGUACUGUAGCCUCGCACUGGUGGAAGAUCAUUUAUAGUUAUGUUGCAUAGACUGAGCACACAGAGAAGUGAAAUUCAUAGUUUCAGUUUUUUAUUUUUUAUAUGAUAAUUGUAAGCCAGGUUGUACUUUUGAGUUUCAAUGAAGAAAGUACUAUGUUUUUCA